rnacentral:rRNA from 1 species
AAAGGGGGGGGGAUAUACAUGCAAGUCGAGCGGACCUUUUAAAAGCUUGCUUUUGAAAGGUCAGCGGCGGACGGGUGAGUAACACGUGGGCAACCUGCCUGUAAGACUGGGAUAACUUCGGGAAACCGGAGCUAAUACCGGAUAAUAUAAGGAACCUCCUGGUUCUUUAUUGAAAGAUGGUUUCGGCUAUCACUUACAGAUGGGCCCGCGGCGCAUUAGCUAGUUGGUGAGGUAACGGCUCACCAAGGCGACGAUGCGUAGCCGACCUGAGAGGGUGAUCGGCCACACUGGGACUGAGACACGGCCCAGACUCCUACGGGAGGCAGCAGUAGGGAAUCUUCCACAAUGGACGAAAGUCUGAUGGAGCAACGCCGCGUGAGCGAUGAAGGCCUUCGGGUCGUAAAGCUCUGUUGUUAGGGAAGAACAAGUGCGAGAGUAACUGCUCGCACCUUGACGGUACCUAACCAGAAAGCCACGGCUAACUACGUGCCAGCAGCCGCGGUAAUACGUAGGUGGCAAGCGUUGUCCGGAAUUAUUGGGCGUAAAGCGCGCGCAGGUGGUCCUUUAAGUCUGAUGUGAAAGCCCACGGCUCAACCGUGGAGGGUCAUUGGAAACUGGGGGACUUGAGUGCAGAAGAGGGAAAGUGGAAAUUCCAAGUGUAGCGGUGAAAUGCGUAGAGAUUUGGAGGAACACCAGUGGGCGAAAGCGACUUGUCUGGGUCUGUAACUGACACUGAGGCGCGAAAGCGUGGGGAGCAAACAGGAUUAGAUACCCUGGUAGUCCACGCCGUAACGAUGAGUGCUAAGUGUUAGAGGGUUUCCGCUCCUUUUAGUGCUGCAGCUAACGCAUAAGCACUCGCCUGGGGGGAGGUACGGGUCGCAGACUGAUACUCAAGACUUGACGGGGCCCGCACAGCGGUGGGAGCAUGGUGGUUACUCGAAGCACGCGAGAAGCUUACAGUCUGGACAGUCGUCUGACACUCUAAGAUACGGACGUUCCCAUCGGGGACUGAUUGAAGGUGGUGCCAUGAUGUCUCCACCUCAGUCUGCAAGUUUAGCCAGUCGCCACGAGGGCAAGCCUGA